CCUACGGGGAGCUGCAGUCGAGAAUCAUUCACAAUGGGGGAAACCCUGAUGGUGCGACGCCGCGUGGGGGAAUGAAGGUCUUCGGAUUGUAAACCCCUGUCAUGUGGGAGCAAUUUAAAAAGAUAGUACCACAAGAGGAAGAGACGGCUAACUCUGUGCCAGCAGCCGCGGUAAUACAGAGGUCUAAAGCGUUGUUCGGAAUCACUGGGCGUAAAGGGUGCGUAGGCUGUUUCGUAAGUCGUGUGUGAAAGGCGCGGGCUCAACCCGCGGACGGCACAUGAUACUGCGAGACUAGGGUAAUGGAGGGGGAACCGGAAUUCUCGGUGUAGCAGUGAAAUGCGUAGAUAUCGAGAGGAACACUCGUGGCGAAGGCGGGUUCCUGGACAUUAACUGACGCUGAGGCACGAAGGCCAUGGGAGCGAAAGGGAUUAGAUACCCCAGUAGUC
rnacentral:rRNA from 1 species